rnacentral:misc_RNA from 1 species
CCGUUGGUGAACCAGCGGAGGGAUCAUUACCGAGUUUACAACUCCCAAACCCAAUGUGAACGUUACCAAACUGUUGCCUCGGCGGGAUCUCUGCCCCGGGUGCGUCGCAGCCCCGGACCAAGGCGCCCGCCGGAGGACCAACCAAAACUCUUAUUGUAUACCCCCUCGCGGGUUUUUUUACAAUCUGAGCCUUCUCGGCGCCUCUCGUAGGCGUUUCGAAAAUGAAUCAAAACUUUCAACAACGGAUCUCUUGGUUCUG